GGGGUUGUAGCUCAGUUGGGAGAGCGCUUGAAUGGCAUUCAAGAGGUCAGGGGUUCGAUUCCCCUCAGCUCCACCA
rnacentral:tRNA from 11 species